UCGAGAAUAUUCCACAAUGGGCGCAAGCCUGAUGGAGCGACGCCGCGUGGAGGAUGAAGGCCUUAGGGUUGUAAACUCCUUUUCCACGGGAAGAAGGUGCGAUGAGCACAUUGACGGUACCGUGGGAAUAAGUGGCUGCAAACUUCGUGCCAGCAGCCGCGGUAAUACGAAGGCCACAAGCGUUAUCCGGAUUUAUUGGGCGUAAAGGGCGCGUAGGUGGUUUCGUGCGUUUUCUGUUAAAUCUCACUGCUUAACGGUGAGGCCGCAGAGAAUACGACGAGACUAGAGGGUGUUAGAGGCAUAUGGAACGCACGGUGUAGGGGUGAAAUCCGUUGAUAUCGUGCGGAACACCAAAGGCGAAGGCAAUAUGCUGGGACAUUCCUGACACUGAGGCGCGAAAGCGUGGGGAGCAAAAAGG
rnacentral:rRNA from 1 species